GACGAACGCUGGCGGCAUGCCUAACACAUGCAAGUCGAGCGAGUUGAUCCCUUCGGGGUGAGGCUAGCGGCGGACGGGUGAGUAACACGUGGGCAACCUGCCUCAUAGAGGGGAAUAGCCUUCCGAAAGGAAGAUUAAUACCGCAUAAGAUUGUAGCUUCGCAUGAAGCAGCAAUUAAAGGAGCAAUCCGCUAUGAGAUGGGCCCGCGGCGCAUUAGCUAGUUGGUGAGGUAACGGCUCACCAAGGCGACGAUGCGUAGCCGACCUGGGAGGGUGAUCGGCCACAUUGGGACUGAGACACGGCCCAGACUCCUACGGGAGGCAGCAGUGGGGAAUAUUGCACAAUGGGGGAAACCCUGAUGCAGCAAUGCCGCGUGAGUGAUGACGGCCUUCGGGUUGUAAAGCUCUGUCUUCGGGGACGAUAAUGACGGUACCCGAGGAGGAAGCCACGGCUAACUACGUGCCAGCAGCCGCGGUAA
rnacentral:rRNA from 1 species